AUGGCUUCCAUUACCAUGUUGUCAAUUGCUCCAACAACAGGAAGAGUGUUUGCAGCUACAGGUUCAAAGGGUGCAGCAGGUGGAAGCAAGGAAGAGAAAGGAUUUCUUGAUUGGAUUCUUGGUGGUAUGCAGAAAGAAGAUCAGUUGCUAGAGACUGAUCCUAUUCUCAAGAAAGUUGAAGGGAAGAAUAGUAGAGGCACCACUACUAGUGGCAAGAAUUCUGUGGCAGUUCCACAAAAGAAAAAGGGUGUUUUUGAAGGAUUGUUUUCCAAGAAUUAA